CACUAUGCUUCGCCCUAAACAUUGAUAGCUUUACACAACCCCUAUCCGCCUGGAAACUACGAGCAACAGCUUAAAACCCAAAGGACUUGGCGGUGCUUUAGACCCACCUAGAGGAGCCUGUUCUAUAACCGAUAACCCCCGUUUAACCUCACCUUUCCUUGUCAUUUCCGCCUAUAUACCGCCGUCGCCAGCUUACCCUGUGAAGGUCCCCUAGUAAGCACAAUUGGUACAACCCAAAACGUCAGGUCGAGGUGUAGCGUAUGGAGAGGGAAGAAAUGGGCUACAUUCCCUAUUACAGUGAAUCACGGAUAAUAUUACUGAAACGUGUAUCUAGAAGGAGGAUUUAGCAGUAAGCGGAAAGCAGAGCGUCCCGCUGAAACCGGCCCUGAAGCGCGCACACACCGCCCGUCACUCUCUCCAAGCAUUUCUUUUUAAUUUAACUUAAAACAUUACACCAGCAAAGGGGAGGCAAGUCGUAA
rnacentral:rRNA from 1 species